AGGAGAAUGGCAGAAUUCGUACAGCAUACUUUUUUUGGUGUUCCCUGAUAAAAUUUGUACCACUUAUUGAGGCAACUAAACCAUUCAUUUUUCUGUAAAAAUAAUAUUUUUAGAAGCUGGGGUUUAGCAAAUAUAUCAAUUAAAAGAUUUUAGUAACGAAACGUAAUAUAAUGAAACAAAACGUAGAAGACAUGUUUAGUUAGUUGCCAUUAAUAAAAUAUCAGAAAGCACGAAAUGAUAAAUAAAUAUUUUGAAAUAGAAAUAACAGUAAAUAUAAUUAACCAAUUACAGGUUAUACCUUAGAAUAUAUAAUUAAUGCAUAUAUAUGCAUAGAAUCUUUAUAUUUAUAGGAAUUAUUUUUGCCAUCAAUAUUUUUUUUUGUUAUGGCAAUUAUUUAUUGACAGGUUUGUAAAAUCCCUAAUCUGUCAAAGUCUGUUUUUCGCCGUUGUUUUGUUUUGGAUUGUAGUUUGUAACUUCAUCUAAACAAUUUAGCAAUUAUCUGGCCAUUUUUACGUUGAGUUGAGCAACUGCUUCUCCGUUCUCUAUCUGUUGAUACUACUUUCGCGAAAGGACGCUUUAUUAAUUGUGUUGUGUUUACGUGUUUUAUUGAAAAUGACGAGUUUGCAAUGCAUCAAUUGCAAUGUUCGCUUGUCCCGAAGAAGAAGACACGCUUUAUCCAAUGACGGUGAAGAUAUCGUCAACACUAUUCGUCUGUGGACAUAUCUUAGAGAUAUUACACCAGAUGACCAUGUUUACCAUGAAUGCUGGCAGCUAGCUAGUCAUUCAUGUUCUUCUGAUAAUAUGCCGAGAAGACACAUAGGCCAUCAGUGUUUGUGUUGUAUGUGGACAACCCAUACUAAGAAUCGGGCAAUGCAGAAUUUUGAUUGAAGAAGAACAAAGAAUGGCGUACACAAUUGCUAAUUGGAUCUAACCACGACAGCUUCAUCCUGAAGAUAAAGCUUGUGUGCGGUGUUGGUUAAGAGUGAGAACUAAGGAUACUUCACUAAAUGAAGAUAUUCAAUCCGUUCAACCUAAUCAGCAGAAAAGGGAUAAUUCUGAACUGAUGUGUGCUGCAUGUGGUCAAAGUCUUACUCCCAACAACACUGCUUGUUUGUUGGAGCACCAGCAGGUAUAUAAUAAUAUGAAAUAACAUAUUUAUAGUAAUUAGCUUCUAAAAACGCAAUGCAAAGAGCAAUUACAAUUUUAUGUUGCUAAAUGUAAGACACUAAUGAUGUUGGCUCUACUAACAACAAAAGGAUCCUGGUCUUUCCAUUCUCUACUCCAGUGAACAAUAAAUAUAUUUAGUAUUUUUGGAAAGGUCUUCAGUAAAAACCAAUCCUUGUGUGUCAAGAUUUAUUCUCUAGCCUGGUCAUGUUUGACGCAUUUUAUAUC